GGGUUGUGAGGUUAAGCGACUAAGCGUACACGGUGGAUGCCCUGGCAGUCAGAGGCGAUGAAGGACGUGCUAAUCUGCGAAAAGCGUCGGUAAGGUGAUAUGAACCGUUAUAACCGGCGAUGUCCGAAUGGGGAAACCCAGUGCAAUUCGUUGCACUAUCGUUAACUGAAUACAUAGGUUAACGAGGCGAACCGGGGGAACUGAAACAUCUAAGUACCCCGAGGAAAAGAAAUCAACCGAGAUUCCCCCAGUAGCGGCGAGCGAACGGGGAGCAGCCCAGAGUCUGAAUCAGCUUGUGUGUUAGUGGAACGGUCUGGAAAGUCCGACGGUACAGGGUGAUAGUCCCGUACACCAAAAUGCACAGGCUGUGAACUCGAAGAGUAGGGCGGGACACGUGGUAUCCUGUCUGAAUAUGGGGGGACCAUCCUCCAAGGCUAAAUACUCCUGACUGACCGAUAGUGAACCAGUACCGUGAGGGAAAGGCGAAAAGAACCCCGGCGAGGGGAGUGAAAAAGAACCUGAAACCGUGUACGUACAAGCAGUGGGAGCACCUUCGGGUGUGACUGCGUACCUUUUGUAUAAUGGGUCAGCGACUUAUAUUCUGUAGCAAGGUUAACCGUAUAGGGGAGCCGCAGGGAAACCGAGUCUUAACUGGGCGUUAAGUUGCAGGGUAUAGACCCGAAACCCGGUGAUCUAGCCAUGGGCAGGUUGAAGGUUGGGUAACACUAACUGGAGGACCGAACCGACUAAUGUUGAAAAAUUAGCGGAUGACUUGUGGCUGGGGGUGAAAGGCCAAUCAAACCGGGAGAUAGCUGGUUCUCCCCGAAAGCUAUUUAGGUAGCGCCUCGUGAACUCAUCUUCGGGGGUAGAGCACUGUUUCGGCUAGGGGGUCAUCCCGACUUACCAACCCGAUGCAAACUACGAAUACCG
rnacentral:rRNA from 1 species